GUAAACUGGAAUGAAUGAUGGGACGAGAAAAAUGCUGUUUCAGAUUAAUUUUGGUGAAUUUAAUUUGUUUUUGAGAAAGAAAAUGUGUUUAUGAAAGACGAGAAGACCCUGUAGAGUUUUAUUUAGGAAUUUAUUAAGAUAUAGAUUAGGUUUUAUAAAUUUAGUUGGGGUAACUUUGAUUUUAAAUAUUCUGGUUUUUAAUUAUAAAAUUAAGUUUAUUUGAACUAAUAAUUAGUUAUUUGGUUAAAUUACCUCAGGGAUAACAGCAUAAUUUAAUUAAGGAAUUCUUAUUUGUAAUUUAGUUUGUGACCUCGAUGUUGAAUUAA
rnacentral:rRNA from 1 species